GAAAAACCCACAGUUUCUUGAGAUCAGCUGCUACAGAAAUCCAGCCACCAGAAAAUUACAGCACUCUGCUGAUACGAGUAUCUAUCACUGACACCUUUGAAUAAGGGUAACUCAAACUCCAGUGCUUCAGCCAGUGAAAGCCGAUGAUUUCCCCAUUCAGUCUCUGCCCAUUUCCUCAUCCGUUCUCCUUCUGCCUUCCUGUUUUGUUGAACACACAGAACAUCCGCAUAUCCACCUUUAUACAUGCAA